AGCCAUGCGGUGAGCACAGAGCGAACUAUUCUUUCGCCUUUUACUAAAGAAUACCAUGUGCUCGCCACACUCAGUGGCAUAAGCCUAUUUUUAGAGUGAGUUUUCUUAUAUUGGAAGGCC